UGUGUGUGUGUGUGUGCGGGCAGGCGGACGGCCGGGCGUGAGUAUGUCAGUGUGUGUUCCCGUUGGUCUCGCAAACUGUCUUUGUGUUGUAAUCAGAAGGUCUGACCCAGUUCUUUCUCUGUCGCUUUGCUCAAACGACUUACUGAUCCCAUAAUACAGCUGCUCCUACACAUGCACUUGCACACUCCACACGUACACUCCACACGCACAGAGAAAGACAAGUUCCUUAUGAAAGAGAGAACAGAGAACAAACAGCUUCCAGUCAGACAGAGAGAGACAUAUCCAAUGAGAACCUCAACAUUCCACUGCUAAACCAUGUGACUUUUCAUUCCGUGCCAGGCGAAUGUGGGUAUUGAGGGAGAGGUGUGAGUGGUAUGCACCAGAUCUCCAGUGCUCACCCACAGCCCGGUUCAACCUGUGCCUGCACUCUGGAGGGUCCGGGAUGAAGGGGUCAUCCAGCCUGGAGGAGUGGUGCCAAGGAGCCGCCCGUCAGUCAGGAGCUGCCAGAGCCGCCCGUCAGUCAAGAGCUGCCAGAUCCCAUAAUUUCAAACCAACAAAUUGUACAUUUCAUACUUCGGUCAUCAUACUCCGGUGCAAUUUCAUUACCUCUAAAUGGUCAAUUACAAUAUUGAGAUAAGCUAGUCCUGUCUUGCAAGCUCUUGCUCUCUCUCAAGCAACUGUGGGUCUAUCAUUGGCUUAGAGAACCACUCUACAGUGUAAUGACAAUGCAAUACAAGAUGAACAGGAAUUACAAUUCUCUCACGGGUGACCAAAAAUAACUCUUUGAAAGUCACACCCCUACUAAGCCACACCUCCAGUCUUCCCCUGUCACCUGGUGGGUCAUAGCUCAAUUACCCAGCAAUAAUUACUCAACUAUGUGACCCAACAGCUAGAUAUUAAUUUAUAUGGAAUGGAAGAAGAAAACCAUCAUUGGAAUAGAACUGAAAUUAGAAUUUAGACUAUCUGAAUUAAAAUAGAAUUUUAAUUGGAAAAUAAAAAUAUUCUUGGAAUUGGAAUUUAGAAAUGUGAAACUUGUAUUAAUUCCAGUUACUGGUGUUAAUGCAUUUAUCAUUGAAGUUGAAUGCAAACUUUGUUUUAAAUCAAAAAAUUAUAAUUAUAUACAUUACUGUAUAUACAUUCUUUUUUUAAACGUUUUCCAAUGAGGAGUUGACGUGUGUGAAUAUACAAUGCUUUCGGAAAGCAAUUGUCACGCCCUGGUCUUAGUAUUUUGUGUUUUCUUUAUUAAUUUGGUCAGGCCAGGGUGUGACAUGGGUUUUGUAUGUGGUGUGUUUUGUCUUGGGGUUUUUGUUAGGUAUUGGGUUUGUAUUAUAGUAGGGGUAUCUAGCAUAGUCUAUGGCUGUCUGGAAUGGUUCUCAAUCUGAGGCAGGUGUUUAUCGUUGUCUCUGAUUGGGAACCAUAUUUAGGCAGCCAUAUUCUGAGUGUUUCGUGUGUGAUUGUUCCUCUCUCUGUGUUUGCACCAGAUAGGACUGUUUAGGUUUUCACAUUUCAUUAUUUUGUAGUUUAUUCAUGUAUAGUUUUUCCUUUAUUAAACAAACAUGAAUCAUCACAACGCUGCAUUUUGGUCCGACUCUCUUUCACCUAAGGAAAACC
ensembl:lncRNA